GUGCCAGCAGCCGCGGUAAUACGUAUGGGGCAAGCGUUGUUCGGAUUUAUUGGGCGUAAAGGGCGUGUAGGCGGCUCAUCAAGUCUGGUGUGAAAAUGCAGGGCUUAACUCUGCAAAUGCGCUGGAAACUGGUGGGCUUGAGUUCUUGAGGGGAAGCUGGAAUUCCAGGUGUAGGAGUGAAAUCUGUAGAUAUCUGGAAGAACACCGGUGGCGAAGGCGAGCUUCUAUCAGAGGACUGACGCUGAGGCGCGAAAGCGUGGGGAGCAAACAGGAUUAGAAACCCGGGUAGUCC
rnacentral:rRNA from 1 species